CCUACGGGAGGCAGCAGUGAGGAAUAUUGGUCAAUGGACGAGAGUCUGAACCAGCCAAGCCGCGUGAAGGAUGACUGCCCUAUGGGUUGUAAACUUCUUUUAUAUGGGAAUAAAAUGUUCCACGUGUGGGAUUUUGUAUGUACCAUAUGAAUAAGGAUCGGCUAACUCCGUGCCAGCAGCCGCGGUAAUACGGAGGAUUCGAGCGUUAUCCGGAUUUAUUGGGUUUAAAGGGAGCGUAGGUGGAUUGUUAAGUCAGUGGUGAAAGUUUGCGGCUCAACCGUAAAACUGCAGUUGAAACUGGCAGUCUUGAGUGCGGUAGAGGUAGGCGGAAUGAGUGGUGUAGCGGUGAAAUGCUUAGAUAUCACGAAGAACUCCGAUUGCGAAGGCAGUUCACUGGACUGAAACUGACGCUGAGGCUCGAAAGUGUGGGUAUCAAACAGGAUUAGAUACCCGUGUAGUC
rnacentral:rRNA from 1 species